CAGAGGUUUGAUGGUGGACGGUCGUGCCAGCCAGCACUACAGCGAGCCUCUCUGCCCCCAUCUUUGCGAUUCGGGGGCCCUCGCACCCCUCUUUCAGGGAGUGGUGCGGGGGUCAAGGAAUUCAUCUUCUAGCUGGAGAGGACUUGGGUGAGGAGCUGCCGCUGCACCUGAGACCCCACUGCUGCCUCUGCCGCUGUGGUUACCGUGGGGACCUGCCUGAGACCAGGCCAGGGACAGAGCUUCGCUGGCCAGAGGGGCUCCUUCCGUCUGCAGAGAUCUGAGCAGAGACGACUGGCCGCCCUGAGCGCAAUUCAAUUCAACAGACAUUUACUGAGUGCCUACUAUGCGCCAGGCCUUAGGCUAGGCACUGGGGUGGGGGCGCAGAGAGGAAGAUGGAGUCCCGUCCUCAGGUAGCUCUGGGCUGGGGGGUGAGGAGAAGACAAGCAAGGGCUGAACAAGGACAGCUCAGCUCCAGGAGAAAAGCUGCCUGUAGGUUUGGUAGCAGCAGAUACUUGGGUUCAAGUACAUCCCUGGAGAGCUGCUGUCCCUCGCCUGUGCCUCAGUUUCCCCAUCUGUAAAACAAGGGGUGGGGUGAGGUGGGGUGAGACAAUCUCUAGGAUCCUUCCAGGGGUCCAGGAGGGUGGAAUCAGGGCACGGGGGAAGACAUGGUAGGGAGGCCCACACCCUUCCUGUGGAGAAGAAAUCUCUGAAGGCUUCCUGGAAGAGGAGGCAUGAAGCCUGGGCUGCAAGGGGGUAGGGAAGGUGGAAAUGGUACCCCAGGGUCAGGAAGAGCUUGAGCUAAGGCCCAGGGGACAUGCAGAUGGGAAUCCCUGUAAUUCUGUAGGUUGAGAAGGGAUGUGGUGGGGUGUGAAGCUAGAGAGGGAGGGGGGACCCACGGCUUCAUGGUGGGGUAUGAGCUCUGUUCUGUGGGCCGUUGAGGACUGAGAGUCAGUAAGAGUGGCCCGCCUUGUGCUGCCCCCUUCGCCUGCCCUCUCUCCUGCGUACACUUGACCGUCACGUUCCUAUAGAACCUGUGACCAUGGUGGUGCCUGCAUGUGCUGGACACAUUACACAUCAGUUCCCAUGGCAACCCCAUAAAGUGGGCAUUAUUGGGCCCAUUCACAGACGAAGACACUGAGGCUGAGAGAGGGAAGUUUUUGCCCAGAGUCAUGAUCUGACCCUCAGUUUUCCCAUGCUUCUUCCACUAGCUCUCACUUUUGGGGGGGGGGGCAUUUCUGUCCUGUGUGACACCGGCCAUCCUCGGAACCCCCAAACUCAUAGAAGUACCUGCCAAGAGCAGUGCAGUUGGGUUUGGAGGUUGGGGGUGGGCAAACCCUCAGAUAUUAGCAGGGCUGGCUUUCUCCAAGACCUGAGCUUCUGUCCCCACAGACAUCCUCUGAGAUGGGAGUGAGGCAGGGCUCCUUCCCACUUUACAGAUGAGCAGACUGAGGCCCUAGGAGUCCAAGGUCAAUGCAGUGACAGCAUUGGCAGGGAGCCCCUUCUCAUCACCCAGCUGAGGCUGGAGGGAGAUUCAAAUCCCCUGAGAUCUGUGCAGAAGCUGACCCCCACAGCCCUCCCCCCACCCCAGGGAGUGGGAAAGACUGGCAUUAGAAUCACAGACCUGGGUUCAAAUCCUGGUUUUGUCUUGCACAAACAGUGUGAUCUUGAGCAAGUAAUUACUCUGAGCCUCAGUUUUCUUAUCUAUAAAGGGAGACAGCAGACCUCUUUCAUUCAGUCAUCAAUACAUGUUUAUUCAGAACCUGCUGGGUGUCCGGUGUUGGGCUUUAGUGGAGAAUCAGACCUUUACUUGGAGAACUCAGCUCAGGAGUCAGAGCAGCGGUUUUCAUUCUGGUUGUGAUGGAAGAAGCCCAGGGUGCCGUGGGAACCCACAGGAGGGACCCUAGCCAGACCAUUUUGAUUGGUGGAGGGAAGCAGGAGGGCAGGAGAGGAAAGCAGGAAACCAGCUCUGCAAGACCCCAGAGGCUGGGCUUCAGAUGAUUCUUGUUGGAAACUUCUCAGAUCUAAGGGAGCCAGUGAAGGCUUUUGAGCAGGGGAGCACCAUGCUCUGAUAUAUGUUUUAGAAUGCUCCUCCUCUGCUGGGUGGAGAGGGCGCUAAGAGUGGAGGCAGGGAGACCCCUGAGCAUGCAGAUUGAGAAAUUCACUUGGGGCAAGGAAGGAGACUGAAGCAGGACAGGGGCAGUGGGAGGACAUACACCAACACCAUCCAGGUUGUGGGCACGUGGGGAUGCUCCUGGCUGGCUCAGGGACAGGGGAGAAAAGCAGGGGUCGGGGAGCGGGCGGGCAGUGGGAGGCGAGUCCAGUCUUGGGUGAGGACAGGUUGAGUUUCACAUGCCAGGGAGGGGUCCAGAAGGCAGUGGGAGGGAGAUGGUGGUUGGUACCAAGCUACUAACAGAAGCUUUGGGAGGGGUGGAGAUGCUGGGCAGUAGGAGUGGGAAAGUAGAUUUGGGAAGAUCAGAGGGUGGGGACCAGGACUUCAGGGAAGGUCCCUGCAAAGUAGCCCAAAGCGGGAGGGGCCUGGCAGGUAGGAGGAAUCCCGGGGUGUAGGGACUUAGGUCUGCCCAGGAGAUGACAGAAGUCACAUGUGUCAGGCAAUCUGCCCAGUGCCAGGAGCAUGGGAGGGGCCCUGGAGGGUCAGUUCCCAGCUGGCUGUCACCAGAAAGCAGAACCGUAGUCUGUCCCCUACUGCCAUCCCAAGGAGGAGGGGGCCACCGAGGAGGAGGAGGUGUUUGGGAAGGAGGGAAAGGGGAAGAAACAUUUGCAUGCAUAACAAGGCUGAAGCGAGGGAGAGAGAAAGAGGGAGCAGGGGAUGAAAAGAAAUUACCAUACGCCGGGAUCUUGUUAUUCAACCCAAUUUUCAAAGGACCACAGCUGUCGCACUGAGAUAAUCCGUUAAUUAUAACAGCCAUUGUGCUUUGGCAAUGGGAGAGAAACCGAGGCUGGGGAGCAGGCUAAAGGCAGGGGUGGGAGCAGGUCUCCGAGGGGGCAGGAACAGGCAGGAAGGCAGACACUGUCCAGGGCCAGGCCUCAUCCCUUCCUCGCUGCCACUGCUGCAGCGAUGGGUGACACCCUGUUUGUGCCAGGCAUUGUGCCACAUCUGUGAGCCAGGCCAUCCUAACCAUUCUAGAGGUAGCUACGAGCACUUAUGUGCCAGACCUGCUCUGAAGCUUUCGUUCUCCCACCCUCUGAGGUCGUGCCCUUCUAGUCCCAUUUUACAGAAGAGGAGACUGGGACUCAGAGGAAAGAAAUAGUUUGCCUGGGCCACGCUCUUCGUUCAGUGGCAGGGCUGGGAUUUGAGCUGAAGGUGGCCUGUCCUUCUAGGAGAACACUGAGGAGGGCCGGUCUCCAUGGGUUGGCCACACAAACUUGGUGGACACGUGUCCUGGGCUCUGGUUUCUGUGCAGCCGGCAGUCCAUGGGGUGGCCCUCCCCUGGGCACUUCCGGGGCUCCUCCUGCCCAAACAGAGCUUCCUUGUUCUCUGAUGCCACAGCUGCAGGCCCCUGCAAGCCAUACCCAGCGCCCCCCUCCCCCGCCUUGCAGAGAAGCCAAUCUCAGGGCCAGGAGAGGGACCCCAUGCAAUCACCUGGUUUGGGAUUGUGAUGGACUGUCACCCUGGGACGGGCCUGGCUCUGGCUGGCUAUGUGCCCAGGUGGUGGCCUGGGAGAGGCCAUGGGGAGGGUGGGCAGGAGUGCCAGGUGAGCAGAGCAAGGGGAACCUGAGCUCUGGGGGAGGGGCAGGAGUAAGGGGCCAUUCUAGAAGCCCCAGAGCCCUUUGCCGCAGUACCCGCUCUGGUCUGUGACUUGAGCAGCCAAGGCUUUAGGCCUCCUGGUGUUCACAGCAGCCUUGGUGGGAGCCUCAGCCCGUCUUGGCUGGCAACAUUUUAUGGAGUAGGAAUCGUAUUUGGGAGCCCGUUACUCCCAAACCCCAGCAGGAGCCCCUAACUUGACCCAGGAAACCGAGCAGCAUUGUUGAAGAGCCAGGGACCCCGCAGGGCGACAGGCAGGUCAGGGGGCUGUGUGGGGGUGCCCUCCUGGUUUGGGGUCCCCACUCCAGUGGGCCUGCUUGGAGGUGAGCAAGGGUUGUGGAUGGGCCAGGGCAGUCCUGUACCAUCAGUGACACAGAGGCCAAGUAGACUUUUAGGAUCAAGGAACUACAGAACUCUAGAGCCCCAGAUUCAUAAUCAGAGACCUGCCAUCCCCACAAAAAGAUCUAUGCCUUCAGAGCGUCCCAGAGCCACAGAACCAGGGAGGCUUGUGCCAUCUGCCCUAUCUCCACAGGGAUGUAGAAGGUAGGCAGCCAGUUCUUCCAGGUUUGCCAGUCAUUCCAGAAGUGGGGAUUUUAAAAAUAAAAUCUCCCAAGUUAUCAACAUUGGCAAGCAAUUAAAAAAAAAUUUUUUUAAGCCAUUGUCCAGAUGAAACAGGAACUCAUAGUAUGCCUUGACCCAGAGCCUGGUGCCAUGGAGGGUCAAAGCCACUCUGUAGCAGUUGUGAAACCUCAGUUUCCUCCUCUGUAAAGUGGGAAUAAUAAUAGCACGACUCAUGAGGUUGUGCAGAGGAUUAAGUGAAUUCACAUGAGAAGUGCUUAGGCCUACCCGUGUCAGCCCAGGACUCUACUUUCGUUUUGCCCCAAGGGCUGCGCUCUCUGCCACCCGGAGCCUCCGCUUCUCCCCGUGGGCUCCAGCCGUGCCAGUCUGCCCUAGGACAGGCCUGAGGGUGUUGGAAAGCAGGGAAAUAUUCACCCCUUGGGGCCCUGGAGAGCGAGCAGAGACGGGAGGGUGGGCCUAGCCGGCGCCUGGUACAUAGUAGGUGCUCCAUAAAUGUUUAUUGAAUGAAUGAAUGGAGGCCAUGCAGGCAGAGGCAGCCGUGCGUGCGCAGGCACUGGUGAAAGAGCGGGUCCAGUGGAGACUGGAACCAGGUGACAGACGGGUCCCUUCCUUCCUGUCCCCGUCUUUCGUGCUCCCCCCUCAGAGUCCCAGUCUCCAGCCUCCUGUGGGAAUCGUCUGAAACUCUGAGCCCGGAGUCCCAGGAGGAAGAGGAAGAGGCGGAGGAAGUCAAGCCCCGAGAACCUGGGCAUCUUCCUGGCAGGAAAGGAGCACCUCGGGGAAGCAGGCUGUGGGGCCCGCAGCCCCCCUGGCCUUGGUCUGGCUCUGGUGCCUGGAGACUGUGGGUAGCACCCCAGAAGGCCCCCUGACGGUUGGCACUGGCCGUGCCCACGUCACCUGGGGCCCCCGAGCUGGGG